rnacentral:rRNA from 1 species
CAGUCGCCACGGGAAUACGUAGGGUGCAAGCGUUAAUCGGAAUUACUGGGCGUAAAGCGUGCGCAGGCGGUUAUAUAAGACAGAUGUGAAAUCCCCGGGCUCAACCUGGGAACUGCAUUUGUGACUGUAUAGCUAGAGUACGGCAGAGGGGGAUGGAAUUCCGCGUGUAGCAGUAAAAUGCGUAGAUAUGCGGAGGAACACCGAUGGCGAAGGCAAUCCCCUGGGCCUGUACUGACGCUCAUGCACGAAAGCGUGGGGAGCAAACAGGAUUAGAUACCCCCGUAGUCCCUGUCUCUUAUAC